rnacentral:rRNA from 1 species
CCUACGGGCGGCAGCAGUGGGGAAUAUUGGACAAUGGGGGGAACCCUGAUCCAGCCAUGCCGCGUGUGUGAAGAAGGCCCUCGGGUUGUAAAGCACUUUCAGUGAGGAAGAACGCCUGGUGGUUAAUACCCAUCAGGAAAGACAUCACUCACAGAAGAAGCACCGGCUAACUCCGUGCCAGCAGCCGCGGUAAUACGGAGGGUGCGAGCGUUAAUCGGAAUUACUGGGCGUAAAGCGCGCGUAGGUGGCUUGAUAAGCCGGUUGUGAAAGCCCCGGGCUCAACCUGGGAACGGCAUCCGGAACUGUCAAGCUAGAGAGCAGGAGAGGAAGGUAGAAUUCCCGGUGUAGCGGUGAAAUGCGUAGAGAUCGGGAGGAAUACCAGUGGCGAAGGCGGCCUUCUGGACUGACACUGACACUGAGGUGCGAAAGCGUGGGUAGCAAACAGGAUUAGAUACCCUUGUAGUC